CAGGAGAGAAGCCCCAUGUUUGUAGGGAAUGUGGGCGAGGCUUCAUGUGAGGUCAAGUCUCAUCACACACCAAAGGAUACACACAGGAGAGAAGCCCCAUGUUUGUGGGGAGUGUGGGCGAGGCUUCAGUCAGAGGUCACAUCUCGUCAAACACCAGAGGACACAUACAGGAGAGAAGCCCCAUGUUUGUAGGGAAUGUGGGCGAGGCUUCAGUCAGAGUUCACAUCUCAUCAGACACCAAAGCAUACACACAGGAGAGAAGCCCCAUGUUUGUGGGGAGUGUGGACGAGGCUUCAGUGAGAGGUCACAUCUCAUCAUACACCA